GGGGAAUUAGCUCAAUUGGUAGAGCGCGCGCUUUGCGUGUGCGAGGUUACGGGAUCGAUGCCCGUAUUCUCCU